rnacentral:rRNA from 1 species
AGUGAACGCUGGCGGUAGGCCUAACACAUGCAAGUCGAACGGCAGCACAGGAGAGCUUGCUCUCUGGGUGGCGAGUGGCGGACGGGUGAGGAAUACAUCGGAAUCUACUCUGUCGUGGGGGAUAACGUAGGGAAACUUACGCUAAUACCGCAUACGACCUACGGGUGAAAGCAGGGGACCUUCGGGCCUUGCGCGAUUGAAUGAGCCGAUGUCGGAUUAGCUAGUUGGCGGGGUAAAGGCCCACCAAGGCGACGAUCCGUAGCUGGUCUGAGAGGACGAUCAGCCAAACUGGAACUGAGACACGGUCCAGGCUCCUACGGGAGGCAGCAGUGGGGAAUAUUGGACAAUGGGCGCAAGCCUGAUCCAGCCAUACCGCGUGGGUGAAGAAGGCCUUCGGGUUGUAAAGCCCUUUUGUUGGGAAAGAAAUCCAGCUGGCUAAUACCCGGUUGGGAUGACGGUACCCAAAGAAUAAGCACCGGCUAACUUCGUGCCAGCAGCCGCCGUAA